GACGAACGCUGGCGGCGUGCUUAACACAUGCAAGUCGAACGGAAAGGCCCUGCUUUUGUGGGGUGCUCGAGUGGCGAACGGGUGAGUAACACGUGAGUAACCUGCCCUUGACUUUGGGAUAACUUCAGGAAACUGGGGCUAAUACCGGAUAGGAGCUCCUGCUGCAUGGUGGGGGUUGGAAAGUUUCGGCGGUUGGGGAUGGACUCGCGGCUGAUCAGCUUGUUGGUGGGGUAGUGGCUUACCAAGGCUUUGACGGGUAGCCGGCCUGAGAGGGUGACCGGCCACAUUGGGACUGAGAUACGGCCCAGACUCCUACGGGAGGCAGCAGUGGGGAAUAUUGCACAAUGGGCGGAAGCCUGAUGCAGCAACGCCGCGUUCGGGAUGACGGCCUUCGGGUUGUAAACCGCUUUCGCCUGUGACGAAGCGUGAGUGACGGUAAUGGGUAAAGAAGCACCGGCUAACUACGUG
rnacentral:rRNA from 1 species